ACAAUGCUCUCCCUCCCCUGGAACUUAAAUGCUCACCGUUUCCCUCCGACCCUCUUUGAAUGGCUAACCUGGGCACACCUGGAAAAGCGAUGGGAGACUUCUGUUUCUAAGGGUCCUGAAUCAUCUGUGAGCUCUUGUAACAUCAUUUCAAAGAGAGGCUGAACCCAAUCAGAGCAAAGCCCAGGUGAAACGCCUCUUGAGCAAGACGUAAAAAAGGAAAGAGGCAGCCUUCGUCCACCCCCAACUCCACCAGAAGCCCAUGAGCUCUGCCAGGCCAGGACUUCCUCCUUCCUUUCUUCUGCCGAGGGGUCAGAAUUCAUUGCAUCUCCUGAGCAGGGUCCCCACAGACCUUGCAUGACACGAUAAGAAGCCUGGAGCCUGCAGGGCUGGGAGUCGGCCCGUGGAGACCAGGAGGGAACUUGGAAGGACAGGGCAGACUUGGAGCACAACCAAUCAGCCCCUCCAGUCAGCUCGAGGCCGAAGACCCUCCAUCAAUGUAGCUCAGUGGCAUCUUCUCCCAGGAACACCCAACCCACAUCCAAGCCCUUCAGAAAUAAUGUAAAAACCCUCUAGACCAGUGGAGCGCCCAAAGGAGGGAGCGAGAGGAUGAGAGGCCACACUGGACAGAAUGCACAGCUGGGCAAGGGCUGGAGACCCUGUCACCUCUUCUCCCGCCCUCUCCUCUCCUUGAAUUCAAGCCCUGAAAUGUUUCCGGGAGAGUUCUCACCCAGAAACACCGCCUCCAUCCCACAACCAAGAAGCUCAAGGCUUCCACUGAGACAACAUAAGCAGCUGCUGCUUUCUAGAUGUCAAAGGUGGUGCCUCUGAAAUCUUGGAGUCACGAGAUAAACUUUGAGUUAGAAUUCCUGACCUAAAAUAAGCGGUGCCAAUGUCUUCUGCUGCUGUUGGAUCUACAGCGAGCCCAGAGUGGUGCAGAGUGGCACAAGGGUGCCAAUAAAAUGGAAUGACAAUGACCUCCAAACGUCUAAGACAGGAUGACUGAUGAAAAGCUGACAGCGAAUAGAUUUUAAAAGGGAAGUGGUCAAUCAAGUGCAAGCCACAGCCCCACAGGCAGGGCAUGGCUGACCGGGUGAAGGCCAAAGACAAGACAGAAGAAGGGUGGAGCUGCCCGAAACGCUGAGGCUGAGAGAUGGGGGCAGGGCUGUCCUUCUCAAGCCAUCGAGUCCACCGUCUCUGCUCUUGGAAGGGCUGCCACAGCCACUGCAGACUGGUAGUGGCUCUCAGCAGCCUAUCUUGACUUCCGCAGAUUCUCACAGUGAGUGCGUGUCUGCGAGCGCACCGAUCAUCUUUAAAAACGUAUUUAACCCCAUUUGCAUGUGCUCAUCCACACUGAGCAAAGAACUCCUCCUCCUCCUCUUACUCGUCCACAGAGAUUUAGGAACUGUUUCAUAAUCCCUUCUCGGGAGAACAGUCUUCAUUCACUCACACUG